CCCGUGUCCGCGUUGGUGGAUCGACAGAGAUCGGCCAUGUCCACGUAUCCCCUGCCUUUCGUCCGCCUGUCGUACAGGCUGACGUGUUUGAUGCCCACGUCCAGGGCAAAGUCGAAGAUCCUGCUGAGGAGCACCGCAUCCACGCCGGCAUCUACGGGGGAGAUAACCAGGACCAGAUGCUGCGGCGUCUUCGUCAACUGGGAGCGGCAGUCAGCGAGCACGCGCCGCUCGUGCGCCUCACGUGCCGCUUUGCUGCGCCAAAGGUCAUAUGACCGGACGGCCAGUGCAUUCAGUCGCUCUCGGAGCCGCCACAUCAGUUCGUAGCCGCCGACCAGGAGCAGCAGGAUCCUGCCCAGCAGCAGGCACAGCACCUCGAUCAUGUUGCGCAGGUCAGGGGCGGUAUCUCGUACAGCGGUUGUCUCUUCUGCCAGGAAUCCGCUCCUGUUGCUUCUUCGGUUCCCCGUCACAGUGUACACAAGCGGACAUAACCUGCAAACGGCUGGCGGACCUGGGAUUAGGGCUUUCCAGAGGUGCCGGCUGCCUACCCACGCUCAUCCAGGGUCACUUCGCUACCUGUUCAGUCACUUGAGACGCGGGUGCAUCUUGUUAUCCGAGCGUAAUCAAGUUUUAAGCGAUGCGCUUCGCAAGAAUAAUGAAAAUACGUGUUCGUCAGUGUGACCAUGCGCCGGAUUCCGCAAAAUAUCGAGAAUCUAGAGCAGUUUUAUAAUUAAGAACUAAUUAAAAUAACUAAAUAAAAAAUAAAACAUUGAUUAUUUAAUG
ensembl:ncRNA asRNA:CR43767 antisense RNA:CR43767